GUUAGCUCCAGACGCAGAAAAAGCAGCGGUGGUAGUGAGAGCAGCCUAGUCGGUCCAGAGCUCCUGAACCCUGAGACCGGAGCAGCUGAAAAGUUGGACAGCUCCUGACUGGUGAGCCGGGGCUGCGACUUUCUCCAAAACCACCUCAGCCAGUCAGAAGUCAGACCUGUCCUCCUGAUCCUUCCCCUCCCUGUGCCCACGCCUCCCUCCCCUACUGCCCCCCACUGCCCCUGAGCUUUCCUCUGCACCUCCUCUUGCUUCAGCCUUCUUUGAGAAAUGGAGUUUCGUGUUUCCUGGCUGAUUCACAGAGCUUGUUGACGAGGAGCCCCAUGCUGGGGAUUCCAAAGAUAAGGGAUGUGACCUGGCAAAGUUGCCCAGAAUGGUUUUUGUACAGGUUGCUGAAAAUUUGUAUCUGGGCGAAGACCCAAUAUUAGGAUUAUUUCAGCCUCUUUCCUUGACACAGAAUUAAAUAUUAUGUGGAUCUUUCCCAUAGUAGGGAGAAUGCCCAAUGUUUCCUCUUGAAGAUCUUCCUCCAGCUGGUAUAUGAUGUGGCUGCUGCUUCUGAGAUUAAGGUACCCAGGAGUGGUCCUGGCUGGAAAUCAAGGCAAGCAGUUGCCAAGGCUGAGAUAGCUGGCCAGAGUUAAGGUUGAUGUACCUUUUCCAUUACAAACCUCUGUUUAUCUUCAGGGGUUUCUACUGUCAGGGCCAGCUUGCAAUUUUGUAUUUCUGCCACUUCCAGUAGACAAAUGCCACUCUAUUACUAAAGCAUUUUAAAACAUGUAUCACUAUUACCCCAAAGAAAUCAGAGUAAUAUUUGACACUAAAAUCCAAAUUCAAUUUUUAUUUGUCUUCCUUUAUUUAGUAUUUUCCUACAAGGUUGGCUUUUUUCAGGAGCCAAGAGGAUUUCAGAGCAAUAUAUGUACAACAUAUUUUUCUUGUACUUUUUUUUGUAUUACUGUAUUACUUAAAGAUCAAACGCUAAAAUAAUUUAUGGAAGCUACCACUGUACAUUUAUUAUUUAAAAUCUUAUUUAAGACUUACAAUGGCUUGUUGGAAGUGUAAUUAUUCUAUUUUCUGUACACAGUCAAUUUUGACACACUUGAAUAUGUACAUUUUAUACAUAUCAUAUAAUGAAUACUAAAGCUGCCAGAAUCAGGAACCAUCUCUCAGACUGUCCAGAGUGCUGGAAAUCCAAUGUUCUCCAUAUAGUGGAUGCUCAGUAUACAAGUCAUUGAUGAAACACCAUCAAUGGAAAUAAAUGCUCACUUUGCGCACUGUUUCCUUCUCUAAGUGGGAGCAAUUAAGUUUAAUGCUGUGCAAAAAUGCUGUUUGGUAUUUCUUCAUGGGUUUCUUUCUUCCUCUUCCUUCUCUCCUCCUCCUCCUCUUCUUUCUUCUUCUUCUUCUCCUUCUUCAUGGUAGGAAAUGUCUCCUCCAACAUUUAAGUAUCAGCACUUUGUCCGUAUGUGGCCCAUGUACAAAGUCUGAGAAAAGCUAUGUUUCAAGAGCAACAAGGCAGUCCCCCUACUUUCCUCUAUGUAGGACUGAAAACAUACUUGACUAAGGCAUUCUCUCUCCCCUUUACAGAUGCAAGUGGGACUAAUGGCAGUGUCCAAAGAAUGCCUAGGAAGGCAUCAAGCUGGUAUCUUUCCAAACAAGAAAGGAAAUAAAAGGAAGUAUUAUGCAGUAUAAAUCAGUUUUUUUUUCAAUUCACUGCAUUAUUAAUAGUUGGAACCAUUUCAAAGAAGUAUACAAAUUUCUUUUUUCCUCUGAAAUUGUUGCCACUUUUCUGCUCAAUAGAGCUAUGUCAGAAUAUCUAUCUGAAACUCUUAUUCUUGCUUCUCCAACAGUAACAAU
rnacentral:lncRNA from 1 species